UAAAUGAGGAGAUAUUUUUGUCUCCUGGGCUUGACACAUACUUGAAUAAAUGAAGAAAUGAGUCAUACUUAUACUCAGAGAGAGCUGUGUGUAUAUUUUAGAAAGACACUAGAAGCUCUUGGGAGUAUGUGGGCAGUUGUGGCUGCUCCUGAGCUGACACUAACUGCUCAUGACUCCUCUGUGGGAGAAGUAGGUGGUUUCCUAGAGGAAGAAGUUUGGAUAAUGAAGCCACAGAGAUUUGCUGAUACAUUUGCUAGGCAUGACUUCUGGUCAUUUAGAAAGCUAUUUUGUGGCUUCAUCAAUAAGGUAUUCCCCAGCUGCGUUACUCCUUCACAUUGUCAUCUCUUCCCCUGGAAUUGAAGGCUUCCUGGUCCGAGGCAAGGAAAAUUAUUCCCUCACUGCCAACCCUGAUCUCUGGCUGCAGUAAUAAGCAGAGGAAGUUCCCACAUGAUCAUUCUGUUUUUAACGAGCUGAAUGCAAGGAAAGAACAAUGCCAGUAGUAUGCUCUACAGGGAUUUAUUUCGCCUGUUAAGGAAUACAUCACCUUUGUGUCUGUAUCAGAUGGAAUAUAAGCAGAUUUUUACUGACAAAUGAUAUAAUAUUAUGGCAUCUGCUAUAGAUGAAGAAAUAAGAAUGUGGAAGCAUAAUCAUUUGUCUGAGGUCACAGAGGGAGAUGAUUACACAGCUGGAAUCACCAGCUUUAAGAAAAUAGAAGGAAGACAAAGCCUCUGUCCUCAAGAAACUUGAAUACAACAGAUAUGAACUUUCCUUCAUAUACUCAGAGAUACAAAACAUAUCAACAUACUUUAGUUUCUUUAAAUCAAAUAUAUUCUGAAUCUGAGACCCAGCCACCUGUUGAGCAGAAAAUUUAGUCUCAUUCAUUACCCAUCUUCCUUGGAAUCACAUGUGAGUCCCAAGGGUUUUAUUAAAAAGCUGAUGGGUUCAUGACACUAUUAACUCAAGACUGAGUAGAAUAAGAACUACUAACAUGGGAAUAAAUGAACUGGCGAAAGAAGAUUAUAGUUUUUCUUUGGAACAUUGUUGGUUCUUUAAUGCUCUAUUUUUUGGAUAUAAGAAACCCCUUUCUUUUUUCUCAUAAACUAUCCAUAAAUUACAAUGAUUUAGUAUAUUAUACUUUUACAAACCGCAAUGAAACAUUUAUCUUUUCCCCUUCCUGAUCCCUUCAGAAUUCCAAAGCUCUUAUUGAAUAUUCUUAUUUUCAUGGCAAUAUAUUUACAUAAGUUCAAUAAGAAUCUACCUUUUUUAUUCUACUAGGACAUAACUGGAAACAUUGGUUAUAUUAACCAAGGCUUUGAAUGGAAUGUUAUAUUUAAGAAUAAUAGGCAUAGAAUCAGAUAUGACCAGACAGUUUUAAGGAAUUAAGGUUGACUUUAUGGAAUCAAUGCUUAAAAAGCCCUUCUAGAAAAAAAUGGCCUGGGAGCUAACUUACAGUGUUUGCAGCAUUACAUGUGAGUAAUGCAGUUUUUAUUCAGGCAGGGCUAGGAAACUUAGAGUAUUUUGGAGACUUCAAGGAGAGAGGGAUUCACCCAAAUUGAUAGGUAUUGAAGGUAAAAUCUGGUGGCAAGGUCUUGGCUUGGUUUCCUAGUCUUGAGAGGAUUUUAGAAGUCUAAUCCGAGAUUCCUUAUGAAAAGUUUCAGCAAAGCAAACUUUUAAGGUCUUUGUGGUCAAUUAUAGUCUUGCUGCACCUAGGUAAACAAUCAUGCCAGAUCUAAUGAGACCAGACUUAUUCUGAAGACAAGAAUAACCUUACUUUAGUUAUCUUUAAUCAAAAUGAGGGUGAUUGUAGCGAGAAAUUUUGUAUUUUCAUGGAAAGCUAUAUAGCCUACCUUUCUGAGUGUUCAUUGUCUUAGAGCUGCUAUUUUUCACCUCCUGGUAACUCCAUUUUACUUUCUGCUUUAUUAUCUGUCUGUAAACUAGACUAGAUCCUGCUCAAUUUUUCUAGUUUCCCCUGAAAUCUGGCUACAUAUCUCCAAAUGAACAUUUCCAGUUUUUCUCCCACACUCCUGAUUUGGCAUUACUGAGAACUAAAACUUGAUUGCCCGUGUUCUUCUUGGGACUAUCUAAAGAAGCCCUGUGUUUGAAGCUAGAUGUUUCCAUGCUCUCUUCUGAGAAAUAACCAAAAUUGCAGCACUGAUGCAUGUAUCAUCACCAAAGACAUUCAAACUGCAAACCAGGAAAUCUGUCAGCUCUCCACUGCCAUCCUCACUCCACCAUCUGAAAAUGCUUCGAACCCAACAUAAACUCUUGUCAACUGGCUAUACUCUGGACUCAGAAACUGGGUUUUCAGUUUGCUUCAACCAUUAAUUUUUGUCUUACUUUGUUUUCCUAAAAACUCUGCUCCUUCGAUACCUGAUUACUUGCACCAUCCAGCAGAUAUCCUCUACUACCAAGUCUCAACAGAUGGUUCAGCCUCUAUUAGUUCCCACCUCUAUUAG